GAUGAACGCUGGCGGCGUGCCUAAUACAUGCAAGUCGAGCGAACGGACGAGAAGCUUGCUUCUCUGAUGUUAGCGGCGGACGGGUGAGUAACACGUGGAUAACCUACCUAUAAGACUGGGAUAACUUCGUGAAACCGGAGCUAAUACCGGAUGAUAUUUUGAACCGCAUGGUUCAAAAGUGAAAGACGGUCUUGCUUUCACUUAUAGAUGGAUCCGCGCUGCAUUAGCUAGUUGGUAAGGUAACGGCUUACCAAGGCAACGAUGCAUAGCCGACCUGAGAGGGUGAUCGGCCACACUGGAACUGAGACACGGUCCAGACUCCUACGGGAGGCAGCAGUAGGGAAUAUUCCGCAAUGGGCGAAAGCCUGACGGAGCAACGCCGCGUGAGUGAUGAAGGUCUUCGGAUCGUAAAACUCUGUUAUUAGGGAAGAACAUAUGUGUAAGUAACUGUGCACAUCUUGACGGUACCUAAUGAGAAAGCCACGGCUAACUACGUG
rnacentral:rRNA from 1 species